CAAUCCCAAUCCCAAUCCCAAUCCAGCUGAUGACCAGUCAGAUGGAAGCAAUAAAGCAACUGGAGGAUUAUCUGUUCGUGGUGUUUGGCAGAAAAGGGGAGGUCAUAAACUCUUUUAACAAUCUGAUUUUGGUAGAUGCUUCAUGGAGAAGCAAGGCAAUGCUUAAUAUACCUGCAGUAGGUGGAAAAGUUUCCAGUGAUUGCUUUGAUUGCAAUUAUUUGGCAACAUCAAAUCCUUUUUCAGUUUGCUUAUUUUCGUGUUCAGGUGAUGAAUUUUGUGCCCUAUUUCUGUCUCUCAAUAUUUUUUGACAGCGAGUUUGCUUGAAAUGGUUAGCCCUUUGUUAUAUCUUGAUGAUCACAAAUGUUUAUUAACAGUACACAAAAGAAAGAAUGUGGAGUUCUUAAUGAAGACAUUGCAG
rnacentral:misc_RNA from 1 species